CCCCCACCCUUAUCCUGUCCAUGGAAAAAUUGUCUUCCACGAAACCAGUCCCUGGUGCCAGAAAGAUUGGGACAACUGCCCUAACUGAUGUAAGAGUAUGGGCAAUAAGUGUUUUCAGUGCACUGAGUGAUUAAAGAUUGUUGGGGCAGGGUGUGUGCAAGUUGAACUUAGCUCAGUGCAUCCACUGGCAAGGAGGUGGUAGCAGGAAAUAGGCAUGUGGUGACUUCAGUAACAGAGACGACUGCAGGGCUGACCUAAGCUUAGUAGCCUGGCUUCUCCGGGAGCUGAGGGUGAGCAUCAUGCCUGCUCCAUCUCCCUCUUUGUUGUGGAUAAGGCAGGUAGGAAGAAUGACGGAUUGCCUUACCCUUUCUAAUUGUUGUGUGCUCUCCAUACCCCACCCAAUCCUACUUCAACAUUGUCACCUAAGGAUUCACAAACCCACCCUUGUGCGAAUCCAGCCGUCUGUGUUCUAGACUGGCAAGGACCAUAUCUGAUUCUGAGAUGCUCAGGAAGGUGUGCUCCCAAUUGGCCCUUGUCCAGACUAGUUUACUUGCUGAGUAUCCCCAGGGCACAGGAACAAUCAUUUGGGGUUGCGGCUUUGUUCAUAGGGUCAUCAAGACAGGAGGAUAUGAGGCAGAAUCACCACACAAGCUAACCUGAUGUACAUAUGACAUUAAUCCAAUAGACUUAGGAAUAAGAUACAGGGGGUUUUCCUGAAUGAUUCGAGUAUAUCCCCAUUCAUAUUAAGAAAACAAAGUAUUGGCCAAGCGUGGUGGCUCACGCCUGUAAUCCCGGCACUUUGGAAGGCCGAGGCCAGUGGAUCACCUGAGAUGGACUCAACGACUCUCUUACCGUCCAGCUCUCAAGUCCCUUCUCUUGUGAAAAUGGAAAAGUUGAACUACAGUUGAGAUAUUAUUCCCAGGUGUUCUUUGGAACACAGGGGAUUUCUCCAAAAGGCACAGAACAAAUUGCCUCCAAACAGCCAAGAUUCCAGCAGAAGCUGGAGUAGCAGACUACUUGGAUCUUCAAAGUACCUGGCCCUGAGUCAGUUAAGGAAGAUCUUUUCUUCUCUUUUGUACAAUCCUAUGAUGAGAGCUGCAAAGUGAACUGACUAAGAGCUUCUGCCUUGAUCAUUGACCUCCCAAUCCUAAUAAUAUGUUCACUGGCCAAACUUCCUAAUCGAUUUGUCUUUUGGAUAUAACGUUCCUCCUACUGUUUGCCUGAUUGAGAAAUCUGCUACAGAACAUGACCGGUUAGCAUUCCCACCAACCCCAGUGCUACACUGACUGUCUUUCGAUGGACUUUGCUCCUUGCUGCCUCUCUGAGGUCCCAGACCUUCAGAGUGACCUUCACAGCUCUGCCUAACUUUCUGUCAUACUUCUAUCAAGAGAGACAGCUAAAUCAAUAUUUUUAAUGUGCUUUGCUGUCGGAAUUCGAUGAUCUGUCACAGUUCUUGCCCAAUACACCCCAUCAUUAUUGUUAAAAUGUUUUUAGCUUUGUUUGUAGAAUUGCUUUAACUGGUUUCAUCUCUGGGAGCUACACUUUGAAAUAUAACUUUAGCAACAUUUUACUAUACUUUUUCACAACCCAGAGCAGUACUAUUUUAUGCUUAGUGGUUAAACUAAUUCCAUAAAUCUUUUGCAACUAUCCUCUAUUCUUUUUCUUGUAAUUUUUACCUGGGAAGGUUUUUACUGAUAAUCAUCCUAUCCUGAGUCAUCCCACAAACCAAUCUGUCUCACUAAUCAUUGCUUCUAACCUACAGACUAAGCAUAACUUCUGCUAAAUGAUCUUUGAUAAGAUGCUAUGACUCUAUAAAGUCUUUGAUAUUCAUGUCUAAAUUUAAUCACUUGUAGAUUUUCAUAGAAUCAAUCUUUCACUUCUACAAUUGGGAGUAUUUAUAAGUUGUUUAUCUUAAACAGUUCCUCUAUCACGCUUUUCACGUUAAAUAAAGCA
rnacentral:lncRNA from 1 species